UACGGGAGGCAGCAGUGGGGAAUAUUGCGCAAUGGGCGAAAGCCUGACGCAGCAACGCCGCGUGCGGGAUGAAGGCCUUCGGGUCGUAAACCGCUUUCAGUGGGGACGAAAUUGACGGUACCCACAGAAGAAGCCCCGGCCAACUACGUGCCAGCAGCCGCGGUAACACGUAGGGGGCGAGCGUUGUCCGGAUUUAUUGGGCGUAAAGAGCUCGUAGGCGGCUAAGUAAGUCGGGUGUGAAAACUCCAGGCUCAACCUGGAGACGCCACCUGAUACUGCUUUGGCUAGAGUCCGGUAGGGGAGCAUGGAAUUCCUGGUGUAGCGGUGAAAUGCGCAGAUAUCAGGAGGAACACCGGUGGCGAAGGCGGAUCUCUGGGCCUUACCUGACGCUGAGGAGCGAAAGCAUGGGGAGCAAACAGGAUUAGAUACCCUGGUAGUCCAUGCCGUAAACGUUGGGCGCUAGGUGUGAGGGACAUUCCACGUCCUUCGUGCCGCAGCUAACGCAUUAAGCGCCCCGCCUGGGGAGUACGGCCGCAAGGCUAAAACUCAAAGGAAUUGACGGGGGCCCGCACAAGCGGCGGAGCAUGCGGAUUAAUUCGAUGCAACGCGAAGAACCUUACCUGGAUUUGACAUAUAGGGAAAACUGUCAGAGAUGGCAGGUCCGUAAGGGCCCUAUACAGGUGGUGCAUGGCUGUCGUCAGCUCGUGUCGUGAGAUGUUGGGUUAAGUCCCGCAACGAGCGCAACCCUCGUCCUAUGUUGCCAGCAAGUAAAGUUGGGGACUCAUAGGAGACUGCCGGGGUAACUCGGAGGAAGGUGGGGAUGAGGUCAAGUCAUCAUGCCCCUUAUGUCCAGGGCUUCACGCAUGCUACAAUGGCCGGUACAAAGGGCUGCGAUACCGCAAGGUGGAGCGAAUCCCAAAAAGCCGGUCUCAGUUCGGAUUGGGGUCUGCAACUCGACCCCAUGAAGUCGGAGUCGCUAGUAAUCGCAGAUCAGCAACGCUGCGGUGAAUACGUUCCCGGGCCUUGUACACACCGCCAU
rnacentral:rRNA from 1 species